UACAGAGGUCUCAAGCGUUGUUCGGAUUCAUUGGGCGUAAAGGGUGCGUAGGUGGCGCCGUAAGUCAGGUGUGAAAUUUCGGAGCUUAACUCCGAAACUGCAUUUGAUACUGCGGUGCUUGAGGACUGGAGAGGAGACUGGAAUUUACGGUGUAGCGGUGAAAUGCGUAGAUAUCGGGAGGAACACCCGUAGCGAAGGCGGCACUCUGGGCCGGUACUGACGCUCAGGAGCGAAAGCGUGGGGAGCAAACAGG
rnacentral:rRNA from 1 species